rnacentral:misc_RNA from 1 species
UUUCAUUAAAAGUGUAACUAAGGUAGUGGGGAGUUGAUUUAUGGAAGAAGUUUUGAGGUUUGAUAAAUUAUUGGUGAUGGAGCAUUUCGACAGCCAUGGAACUUCACCAUGUAUAGCUUAUUUUUGCAUGUAAAUGGUAGUUUAGGAUGUUGAUUUAAAUGUUUAAUUGUAUUGAAGUUGAAUUCCAUGUGUAAAGUUUGA